UACGUAGGUGGCAAGCGUUGUUCGGAAUUAUUGGGCGUAAAGGGCGCGUAGGCGGUUUGUUAAGUCGGAUGUGAAAGCCCUGGGCUUAACCUAGGAAGUGCAUUCGAAACUGUUGGGCUUGAGUUCUGGAGAGGAAGGCGGAAUUCUCGGUGUAGAGGUGAAAUUCGUAGAUAUCGAGAGGAACACCGGUGGCGAAGGCGGCCUUCUGGACAGUGACUGACGCUGAGACGCGAAAGCGUGGGGAGCAAACAGG
rnacentral:rRNA from 1 species